rnacentral:rRNA from 1 species
AGAGUUUGAUUCUGGCUCAGAACGAACGCUGGCAGCGUGGAUUAGGCAUGCAAGUCGAACGGGAUCCUACGGAUUCAAUCUUCGGAAAGUAUCCGUAGGUGAUAGUGGCGGAAGGGUGAGUUACGCGUGGGCAAUCUGCCCUUAAGUUGGGGACAACUCCGGGAAACCGGGGCUAAUACCGAAUGUGGCCUCACGAGGCAUCUCGUGAUCGCUAAAGGCGGGGAUCUUCGGACCUGCCGCUUGAGGAGGAGCCCGCGUGCCAUCAGCUUGCUGGUAGGGUAAUGGCCUACCAAGGCUUACGGCUAGCCGGCCUGAGAGGGUGAUCGGCCACACUGGGACUGAGACACUGCCCAGACUCCUACGGGAGGCUGCAGUCGAGGAUCAUUGUCAAUGCGCGAGAGCGUGAACAUGCGACGCUGCGUGGAGGAUGAAGGCCCUAGGGUUGUAAACUCCUGUCAUGAGGGAAGAACGACACGGUUGUGAAUAGCAGCCGUGAGUGACGGUACCUCAAGAGGAAGCCACGGCUAACUCUGUGCCAGCAGCCGCGGUAAUACAGAGGUGGCGAGCGUUGUUCGGAUUUACUGGGCGUAAAGCGUACGUAGGCGGUUCCGUAUGUCGGAUGUGAAAGCCCAUUGCUCAACGGUGGAAUUGCAUUCGAAACUGCGGAGCUAGAGUCCAGGAGGGGAGAGCGGAAUUCUUGGUGUAGCGGUGAAAUGUGUUGAUAUCAAGAAGAACACCGGUGGCAAGGCGGCUCUCUGGAAUGGUACUGACGCUGAGGUACGAAAGCUGGGGGAGCAAACAGGAUUAGAUACCCUGGUAGUCCCAGCCGUAAACUGUGCGCACUUGGUGUCGGCGGUAUUGACCCCGCCGGUGCCGGAGCUAACGCGUUAAGUGCGCCGCCUGGGGAGUACGGCCGCAAGGCUAAAACUCAAAGAAAUUGACGGGGGCCCGCACAAGCGGAGGAGCAUGUGGCUUAAUUCGAUGCAACGCGAAGAACCUUACCAGGGCUUGACAUGUAGCUCACGCCUCGGGAAACCGAGGAAGCUUUCGAAGGUGCUACACAGGUGCUGCAUGGCUGUCGUCAGUUCGUGCCGUGAGGUGUUUGGUUAAGUCCAGCAACGAACGCAACCCCUGUGUUUAGUUGCCACCGUGGGUGAUGAGCCCGCGAGCACUCUAGACAGACUGCCUGUACAAGCAGGAGGAAGGUGGGGACGACGUCAAGUCAGUAUGGCCCUUACGCCCUGGGCUGCACACGUGCUACAAUGGCCGGUCCAGAAGGACGCAAUACCGCAAGGUGGAGCAAAUCCUCAAAGCCGGCCCCAGUUCGGAUUGGAGUCUGCAACUCGACUCCAUGAAGUUGGAUUCGCUAGUAACGGCGCAUCAGCUACGGCGCCGUGAAUACGUUCCCGGGCCUUGUACACACCGCCCGUCACAUCAUGAAAGCCGUCUGCACCCGAAGUCGCUGAUUCAACCCGCAAGGGAGAUAGGUGCCGAAGGUGUGGGUGGUGAUUGGGAUGAAGUCGAACAAGGUA